UCCGAGUUGACCCCGGCAGUCUCCCAUGAGUCCCCAACUAAAUGCUGGCAACAUGGAACGAGGGUUGCGCUCGUUGCGGGACUUAACCCAACAUCUCACGACACGAGCUGACGACAGCCAUGCACCACCUGUGCACGAGCCCCGAGGGGCUGCCAUAUUUCUACGACAUUCCCGUGCAUGUCAAGCCUAGGUAAGGUUCUUCGCGUUGCGUCGAAUUAAACCACAUGCUCCGCUGCUUGUGCGGGCCCCCGUUAAUUCCUUUGAGUUUUAGCCUUGCGGCCGUACUCCCCAGGCGGGGUGCUUAAUGCGUUAGCUCCGGCACGGAGGGAGUCGACACCCCGGACACCUAGUGCCCAUCGUUUACAGCGUGGACUAC
rnacentral:misc_RNA from 1 species